rnacentral:rRNA from 1 species
GAUGAACGCUGGCGGCGUGCCUAAUACAUGCAAGUCGAGCGAACGCACGGGAAUCUUGCUUCUCUGAUGUUGGCGACGGGCGGGUGAGUAACACGUAGAUAACCUACCUAUAAGACUGGGAUGACUUCGGGAAACCUGAUCUAAUACCGGAUAAUAGUUUGAACCGCAUGGUUCAAAGGGUAAAGACGUUCUUGCUGGCACUUAUAGAGGGAUCCGCGCUGCAUUAGCUAGUUGGUAAGGUAACGGCUUACCAAGGCAACGAUGCAUAGCCGACCUGAGAGGGUGAUCGGCCACACUGGAACUGAGACACGGUCCAGACUCCUACGGGAGGCAGCAGUAGGGAAUCUUGCGCAAUGGGCGCAAGCCUGACCCAGCAAUGCCGCGUGAGUGAUGAAGGUCUUCGGAUCGUAAAACUCUGUUAUUAGGGAAGAACAUAUGUGUAAGUAAAUGUCGACAUCUUGACGGUACCUAAUGAGAAAGCAACGGCUAACUACGUG